rnacentral:rRNA from 1 species
AUUGAACGCUGGCGGCAUGCCUUACACAUGCAAGUCGAACGGCAGCACGGGUGCUUGCACCUGGUGGCGAGUGGCGAACGGGUGAGUAAUACAUCGGAACAUGUCCUGUAGUGGGGGAUAGCCCGGCGAAAGCCGGAUUAAUACCGCAUACGAUCUACGGAUGAAAGCGGGGGACCUUCGGGCCUCGCGCUAUAGGGUUGGCCGAUGGCUGAUUAGCUAGUUGGUGGGGUAAAGGCCUACCAAGGCGACGAUCAGUAGAUGGUCUGAGAGGACGACCAGCCACACUGGGACUGAGACACGGCCCAGACUCCUACGGGAGGCAGCAGUGGGGAAUUUUGGACAAAGGGCGAAAGCCUGAUCCAGCAAUGCCGCGUGUGUGAAGAAGGCCUUCGGGUUGUAAAGCACUUUUGUCCGGAAAGAAAUCCUCGGCUCUAAUACAGUCGGGGGAUGACGGUACCGGAAGAAUAAGCACCGGCUAACUACGUG